rnacentral:rRNA from 1 species
UAGAGUAACACGUAAACAACCUGCCUUCAGGAUGGGGACAACAGACGGAAACGACUGCUAAUACCGAAUAAGUUCCAAGAGCCGCAUGGCCCAUGGAAGAAAAGGUGGCCUCUACCUGUAAGCUAUCGCCUGAAGAGGGGUUUGCGUCUGAUUAGCUGGUUGGAGGGGUAACGGCCCACCAAGGCGACGAUCAGUAGCCGGUCUGAGAGGAUGAACGGCCACACUGGAACUGAAACACGGUCCAGACUCCUACGGGAGGCAGCAUG